rnacentral:rRNA from 1 species
CUCCGGCGGUUUGAGAUGAGUAUGCGUCUGAUUAGCUAGUUGGUGAGGUAACGGCUCACCAAGGCGACGAUCAGUAGGGGACCUGAGAGGACUAACCCCCACACUGGUACUGAGACACGGACCAGACUCCUACGGGAGGCAGCAGUAAGGAAUAUUGGUCAAUGGAGGCAACUCUGAACCAGCCAUGCCGCGUGCAGGAUGACGGCCUAUGGGUUGUAAACUGCUUUUAUACAAGAGAAAACCCUGGUACGUGUACCAAGUUGAUAGUAUUGUAAGAAUAAGCAUCGGCUAACUUCGUG